GCCUGCCCUCCACCCCCACACUCUGGGCCCGAGACUCCUCGCUCCUCCUCGCCUCGCCUCGCCUCGAGUCUCUGGCUCCGACCUCUCUACUCCCUUGUUUCUGACCUGUGCUCCGUGGUGUCUCUGAUCUCCCCCUGCCGCCAGGGGAAAGGAGGUCUUCACCUCCGGGACCCCCACCCCCCACCCCCGUCCCCUCCCUGCCCCCUAUCCGUUCAGCCUCGGCUUUCUCGGCGAGAAAGCGCAGAUGGCUCCCGGCUGCUAACCCAGGAGGCUAAGGAGCAGCCCUAGAGACUGCGCAUCUGCAUGUCUGUGCCUGGGCUGGACCCGCCUGCACCAGCCAGGCCGAGCCAACCUCUCCUGGGGUGGAGGAUGGGAAUCCAGACGAAGCCUAAGGGCUCAGCGCCUGGAACCACUUGGGACAGAGAGUGGGGAGCAGACUGGCAACGAAGGGCCUUGGGCUCUGCGGAGGUUCCCAGCAGCAGAGCAGGCGCCUACAAUGGUGCCAAGGCAACCGGAGGGGGUGGCGGCCCACCCCCUCGCACCACCCCAGAGCCAGCUGGCCUAAGGUUAACCCCUUGGCUGCCGGCAUUGCCGCGUUGUGCCAUCAACCCUCUCUGAAUGGGGUCAUUGAUCUCGGGCAAGGCCAGGAGUGUCCUGUAAAACUGGUUGCAGCUUCUCCCCGGGGGUGGGGGGAAAUGAAGGCAUAGUCUGGUUUCCCACCGCCCUUGGCCUCCUAUUCCUCUCACGUCCCUGCUCCCACCUGCUCCGUUCCUCUAUUCAACCUGUUCCAGGAUUUUCGGGGCGGGGUGGGGGGAGGGUUCCCCUUCACCUGCUGGAAUCCGCAACUCCUACAUAAAGCCUUUCUGUGUUUAUUAAAGGGCCUCUACCCAAUUUCUCCAUCUGCCCUUAGGAACAUCCCUCCCAGGACUCACUCACACCUAUUCUCCAACUCUGCCUACCUGCUCAAUUCACCUGAUGCUCUGCCAGUGGAUUGCUGAUGUCUCUACAUUGAUUCAGAUUUGCACCCACAUCUGAAAAUGGUCAGCAGGCAGGGACCCUCUGUCACCACAGGUGGAGGAAGAGGAGAUGAAAGAGCCUUGUCUGACACCCUGGAGACUGGGAAACUACCCAGACUGUGUCCUCUCCCUCUUACUCUCCUAAAGGAAGACAAGGAAGACAAUGACAAAUGGCGUUUGCAGCAAAGCAACACCAACAGCCAACUUGAUGCUCAAGAGAGAACGCUAUGCCUCUUCCUCAUGGUUUCCAGUGCUCUACACAUUCUGAGAAACUUUUCUGGUUCUACUUCUGGAGGGAACCCAAACCAACACAUUUGAUAUCCAAAGUUGUCCUAGGAAGUAGACCCCCAGGAUAAGAUUCUGGUUUUGGAUCACUCAUCAUCCAGAUGGCCCAAAGAUUCCAUUGCUGAGAGCCCUGGUCAGGUUUAAGGACCUGAGUGAGGGUCCUUGUCCUUGGGAACAUGAUCUGUGGAGGAGACACACAGGACCAUGGACCAUCUCAGUAGGGAGCAGAGAGGCAAUGACACAGGUAGGUGCUGGGCUGGGACCUGUCAAUCUCCAGGGGUUGGAAGGUUGGCGGGAGAGAAGGAAUUCACAGAGCUGGGAAUGCAAACAAUGAACCUUGAAGGUCAAAGCUU
rnacentral:lncRNA from 10 species